rnacentral:rRNA from 1 species
UACGUAGGGUGCGAGCGUUAAUCGGAAUUACUGGGCGUAAAGCGUGCGCAGGCGGUUUGUUAAGAUAGGCGUGAAAUCCCCGGGCUCAACCUGGGAACUGCGUUUAUGACUGGCAGGCUAGAGUAUGGCAGAGGGGGGUGGAAUUCCACGUGUAGCAGUGAAAUGCGUAGAGAUGUGGAGGAACACCGAUGGCGAAGGUAGUUUUUUGGGUUAAUAUUGACGCUCAUGCACGAAAGCGUGGGUAGCAAACAGG